GGUGGUCGACAUCUUAGGAGGUGAUCGGCGCGCUGGCUGAAAGAGGCGGUGGUUGGUGCAGUGGGGCGACGAGCGAGAGAGAAGAGAGAUUAAGGUUUUCAAAAAAAAAUUUAUUCUAAAAAAUAAGGUUAGGACGAAGAAUACUUCCAUCUAAAUUAAUAAAUCCACGUAGGCAAGUCAUGCUGGAUAGCCGGCAAUCCAUGUCGAUUUUCGAGAGUCGGAAAAAUUUAAUAGGACACAAACAAUAUUUUUUUGAUAGGUUGGAUUCGUUUUAAUAUAAUAUUAGGUUGUGAUAUUUUUGAGAAUUCGUUAAAAUGAUGGGACAGAAAAUGACCUUUAUGUGUUUGGAAUUAUUUGAAUCGUUAUUUAGGCAGAAAAUGAAACUGCAAAUAUUCAUACUUUUAUU
rnacentral:lncRNA from 1 species